GUGCAGCGCCGCGGUAAUACCGGCAGCUCAAGUGAUGUCCCAUAUUAUUGGGCCUAAAGCGUCCGUAGCUGGCCGACCAAGUCUCCCGGGAAAUCCACCCGCCCAACGGGUGGGCGUCCGGCGGAAACUGCACAGCUUGGGACCGGAAGGCUCGAAGGGUACGUUCGGGGUAGGAGUGAAAUCCCAUAAUCCCGCACGGACCACCGAUGGCGAAAGCACUUCGAGAAAACGGAUCCGACAGUGAGGGACGAAAGCCAGGGUCUCCAACCGGAUUAGAAACCCGAGUAGUCC
rnacentral:rRNA from 1 species